CACAAGUAUAAAAGGGAGUUUAAAUGGGCAGAGAUUUCACUGGAGCCCACCCAGGUGCCCUUGGCCCACCAGGAGGUUACCGACAGACAUUGCCAUGCCAGCAGCUUCCAGCAUUUCUUUAGCUGAAGACAUUCUCUAACCACAAGACUGUCCUUAGACCAUGCAUAGGUCAAGUCUGAAGGGCCAAAAAGCCAGCACGUCCAGGAACAGCCCCAACCGAUGGGGAACAGGAGUGGCAGGAUGUGUCACCAGUUUCUGGGCCAGCUUCUGGGUGGACGAUCCUGAGGCGUGUCUGCUCCAUCUUAUAGAGAGUUGUACUGGGAUUGGCCUUCAGAACCUGCACGGGUAACAUAUUCACGAAGGCACCCUUGGUUGCCUGUCCCCUUCCUGAUCUCACUCCCUGGCCCCUCACCUCCCAAGAAACCACCUGUGCCAGGUCCUCGUCCCAGGCUUUGCUUCUGAGGAAGCCCAGACUAAAACCAGGGCUGAACCUGUAGCCGUAGAGCACAGGCUGUGGACCACGAGUUCUGAUUUCAGGCUUCCCCGUGGCCUCGGGUAAUGGAUCUGCUUCACUGCUCCAUUCUUCAUUCGUCACACGACAAUCAUAAGGGGACAUCCCUGCUGGUGUUGAUCUCAGGCUUGUCUCCAUGUGGAGGAAGGGCUCAGCGCACAUGUCCUCUGGGACCAAGCAGGACGUGCAGAGCCACAGCUGCUAUUUGCACUUCGGCUCGUUUCUUCACCAGUUGAAGACUCAGUUUCCACAUCAUUAAAAUUGGGAGAAUAAAUAGUGACAAGUGCCAGUAGGACACUUGCCCAGAGCCUGGAAUACGAGGAAUUCGAUAAAUACUGACUAUCUUAGAAUGCUUAUGGAUAGUAAUAGCAAUCGUUGUAUCACCCACAGCUGCUUUACGGCAGGGCCCCACGAUGUGGAUUGAAUCACAGUGAAGAGAAGCCACUCGGACCACGUUUGAGUCAGGAGGGGCAGUUGUGAGGUUGGGGGCAGGGGGCUGAGUCAGUCACUGAAGUAAUAUCCCCAUGGAAUUGUGCUCUGGUGACACAAUUCCAUAUCAGAAUCCUCCCUCACCCUCAACAAAGGAACACGCUGCAGGGGCCGGGGAGGGGACGUUGCUAAGACAGAAACUGCUAAAAUCACACCCAAUGUGCUAGAGAUCACAAUAUGCAUCUUCCAAUUCACUUUAAUAUUCUGCUUUUUCUUCCAACUGUUCCGCCUCAGUGGUGCUGAGAUGCCACAGCCACCGCGUUGUCCAUGGGUGAACCAUUCAUGUCAUCCCCAUGAGGGCAGUGUCGUGUGGACCAGAGGAGCUCAUGGUCCCAGUGGCAGGACGUCCGUUAUGCAGGUCCAGCAGUAUGGAGUUGCUCCUGCUCCUGCCCCUCCACAUCCCCAGGGAACAGAUGCUUCUGGCAGGUUGGUGUUGGAUGAACAUGAAGUCCUGGCCCAGCAAACCAUGAAGCUGAGCUGAGGCCCAGUGAGUGUCUGAAUCACCAUGGCAAACCUUACUUGAAUGUUUUGGAGAUUUCUGCUGAUCGUGACGGACUGGAUUUAGGGGGAAUCCAGCCAUGGUUUCCAGCCAUGUUGCUCAGAUGCUGGGAGGUGGAGAGAAUCCCGCUGAGGUUCUCACCUCCAUUCUCCAGGGCAUUUCUGAAAGCAGAGUUUCCGUCUCAUCGUUGAGCCAAGCAUCCCAUUAGAGCUCAGAAAUGACAUACGAAAACCAUAAAAACAGGCAUUGCCCUGUGAGGCGACAAUUCUGCUUUUAGGAAUUUAUCCUAAAGAAAUAACUAAUGAUGUGAUUAUAAAAGAAUUAGCUCCAAGGACAUUCAUCACAAGCCUGUUUAUAGAUUGAGAAACUGGAAACAAGCUAAAUGUCCAACAAAAAGGGGUUCGUUAAAUGUGGCACAACUGUGCAAUGGGAGACUAAUGACGACCUCAUGAAAUACCACAGCCUGGGGUCGAAGCUAGCCCACCUCCUGUUUUUGUAAAUAAAGUUUUAUUGGACAUAGCCACACCCAUUAAUUUACAUAUCAUCUGUGGCUGCUUCUGCACUAAAAUGGCAACAUUGAGAAGUUGCAGCAGACACCGUAUGGCCCACAAAGCCGAGUAUAUUUACUGUCUGGCACUUUACAGAAGAUGUUUGCAGACUCCUGCUAUUGGAUGACAAGGAAAAAUUCGUAAUGCCCUGCCCAGUAGGAAUAUGUUACAAAACUGUGCAAUUUUCAUAAUCCCAGUGGUGACUUAAAAGGACUGUGUAUAUACAUAUAUGUAUUUUUUUUCUUUGUGUCAUGGAAUUUUGAAUGAUUUGGAAGAGCAUACCUAUAUUUUCUAACUUUACCUGCUCCUGAACACAGCCUGAGGCAACUUACUUCCAUCCUGGUCUCAAUUCCUGCCAUGUCCAGUGCUUCCUGGGACGACUCUGGAUGGUGGUGGCCUCCAAGAUGCCCCCCGAGGCCUCUGCCUUAUGUGGCCCUCACUGAAUCACAGCUGAUCCAGGUGACCAGUAGAGUAGAAGGUGAUGCUGGGUGACGUCUGAGAUUGGGUCACAGAAAGACUUCCAGCCUCACUGUGGUCUCUCAGAAGCUCUGACUUAGGAGCUCUUCGCUGCCCUAUGGGAAAUCGGUUUCCUCAUGUCCACCAUGCUGGAGACACCCCAGGAGGGUCUAUGUGAAGAGACAGAAAUGCCAGCCCCAGCCACUCCAGGCACCUAGAAGACGCCUCUGACAACAUGGAGCAGAGAUGAGUCAUCCUCACAGAGCCCUAUCCAAACUGCAGACGCAUAAACAAAAUAAAUGGCUACUGCUGUUUUAAGCCAAUAAGUUUUGGAGCUGUUUGUUACACAGCAGUGGAUAACGAGAAACCCUGCCAGAUAACAAGCUGUCCUUGAAUCCCGAUCUCAGAGUCUGUUUCUAGGUAACCUCACCCAAGCCCUCUGUGAGCAUCUAAUGAGUCGUGCGUGCAGUAGCUGUCCUGGAACGCAUGCUAUCGUCGGUGACUAUUCAUGUCUCAAUGCUAACCUACCCCAAGAGCUUUACAGAGAUGUCCAACCACACUUUAACAGGAGCACUGCACAGCACCUGGCCAGGGGCCAAAGGGAGUAGGGACUCUGGCAAGCUGGAGGACAUGGGGGCAGUGGAGAAAGUGGCUCUCACCAAGCCUUCACAAGAUGCUGCAUAUUUUUCUUGGGCCAGAGUCACUAACCAAAAUGUAGCUGGAGGCACAUAGAAUUCACAUGCAAUGAUGCUUCGCACAAGGCCACAGCAAAUUGAAAUCACUUGGCAGCUGCACCCUGGGGCUCUGUGAUGGUGCCUGUCACCAAGAUCGUGGACUGAGGUCCAGCUCAGUCUGUACCCCACAGCAGCACCUCAUCUGUGGAAAGGGCUGCAGAUGUGGGGAGAAGAGGGCCUACCCUUUUAGAAGAGGCCAAAAAGUCAGAAUUUCAAGCUAGAGUGGAAAGACACACUGCAGGGGAGCUGCCAGGAAGAAGAGUGAUUUGAUUUCUUAACGGGAGACUCCAAAGGAGUCAGCCCGCGGAGACAAAAUCAAAAGAGGCCCGGACUUGGGAGCACAGCCUGGGAACGCAGGCGGGGGCCUCUGGGACUCUUCCAGCUCAGACCAGGCCUGUGUCUGGGGCUUCUGGGGGCAGCCUGGGAACUGGAAUUUUCUUGUUCCAUAAUGGACUUCUCGGACCCUGCAGGUGGCCUGCCCGGGAUGGCACUCCCUGUGGUAUCAGUGGCUCCUGUCACGGAGGGCACAUGCUGGCUCCAUGCUCAGGCUGUCCUGUAAAUCAUCUCACCGAAUCCCCACUGUGUCCUUACAGAGCAAGCACGCAUGCCUGUGUCCUCCAGAGAAGCAAGCCAGGCCCGAGGAAUGGGCGGCCGAUGGCUCCAGGAAGGUCACUGACUUUGGAGGGAACUUGGGAUCUCCUCCCCACUCUCUCUGUCCUCAAGGCCCAUCUUUUUAAAAUCAACUUUUUGGGAUGUAAUUGACAUAUAAUAAAACCAUCUUAGGUGUACAGCUUGAUGAAUUUUGUCCCACGUAUACAGCUGGGUAACGACAGGAAUCUGGACAUGAGGUUUGCGUGGGCAGCCAAGCUGGGGCCUCAGGAUGCCCUUCGUUCUGAACUUGGCUGCCAUGCCAGGGCCUCGGGAUGCCCUUCCUUCUGAACUUGGCUGCCUGGCCAUCUCACAGUUCCACUUUGUCAACUCUUUGAAGUCUGGGAGAAGUGACUCACCUGAAUUUUUUUUCUUUUCUACAUUCCCACCAUUGUCCCAUCUCCUUCCCUGCUUUGGACAAAGAUUUCUCUUUUCCACGUGAUGGGAGGGGGAUUGUAAACAUCCCAAGCUUUGGAAUCAAAAGACCUAGGCUCACACCGCAGCCCUGCUAUGUGACUCCGGGCACGUGACUUAACUUCUCUGGGCUCCUUUCUUCAUCUGUGUAAAACAGAGAUCAUAAUGGACCCUCUAAGGUCAUUGGGAGACUAAAAGGAGGUAUUAUAUGCAAACAAUAAAUAUUAUUAUUUUGAAUUGCACUGGCUUUAAUGACACAAAUGUGAAGAAAAGGGUAGGAUUGUAGGGGAAGCCUGGGAAAAGGAGAGAUUAAAAGACAAAAACAAUUUCAACUUUUCUGAAAA
rnacentral:lncRNA from 10 species